rnacentral:tRNA from 1 species
GCUGAUUAGUCGGCAAGGCAGCUUCCCAAGCUGAAUACGCGGGUUCGAUUCCCGUCAUCGGCUCCA